UCCCCAUUAUCCUCACAGUCCCCAUUGGCCCCAUUGUCUCCACUGUCCCCACUGUCCCCACUGUCCCCAUUGUCCCCACUGUCCCCAUUAUCCCCAAUGUCCCCAUUGUCUCCACUGUCCCCACUGCCCCCACUGUCCCCAUUAUCCCCAAGGUCCCCAUUGGCCCCAUUGUCUCCACCGUCCCCAUAGUCCCCAUUGUACCCACUGUCCCCAUUGUCCCCACUGUCCCCAUUGACCCCAUUGUUCCCACUGUCUCCACUGUCCCCAUUGACCCCACUGUCCCUAUAGUCCCUAUUGUCCCCACUGUCCCCAAUGUCCCUAAUGUCCCCAUUAUCCUCACAGUCCCCAAUGUCCCCAUUGUCUCCAUUGUCCCCAAUGUCCCCACUGUCUCCACUGUCCCCAUUGUCUCCACUGCCCCCACAGUCCCCACUGUCCUCACUGUCCCCAUUAUCCCCACUGUCCCCAUUGACCCCAAUGUCCCCACUGUCUCCACUGCCCCCACUGUCCCCAACGUCCCCAUUGUCUCCACUGUCCCCAAUGGCCCCAUUGUCUCCACUGCCCCCACUGCCCCCACUGUCCCAACGUCCCCAUUGUCUUCACUGUCCCCAAUGUCCCCAUUGUCUCCACUGUCCCCAUUGGCCCC
ensembl:lncRNA